GCGAAGGUGGUGAUGGUGAGAAAGGUGAUGACUUUUCGACGCUGCGUGAGCUUCGCCAGGUGGACUUGGCGGGGUUGGCGAGGUCGUCCGGCAGCCGACACAAGUGGUCCAUGACGUGCGCCGUGGCUGGGAAGCUGGCCAGGUGCAGCAAGGUGGUGACGACCGGGAUACUGGGCAAGUGAGGCAGGCCUGCAGGCAGCAUACGACGAGCUGUGGUGAGCAGCCGCAGGUAGCAGUGCUCGUAAGGCGAUGGGCUUCGCUGUUGGACGUCGAAGUAGUCGCCCACGAUUCGUCGCUGCGUGUACGAGCAGCCGGUUGGUCGGAAGACGCCCCACGGACGAUAGACUGGUCCCUUGGCACACCAUGAUUGCGGACAACAUUCGAACGCUACGAUGGCGAUGGUGAGAAGGCCCGACGGCAGCCACGCGCAUAUCGGCACGAGAUCUGCUUC